rnacentral:tRNA from 1 species
CUAAGAUAGUUUAACAAAACAUUAGGCCGUGACCCUAACAACAGAGCCUUAGCUCUUCUUAGCU